rnacentral:rRNA from 1 species
GACGGAGGAUGCAAGCGUUAUCCGGAAUGAUUGGGCGUAAAGCGUCCGCAGGUGGCAGUUCAAGUCUGCAGUCAAAGACCGGGGCUUAACUUCGGAAAGGCAGUGGAAACUGAACAGCUAGAGUAUGGUAGGGGCAGAGGGAAUUCCUGGUGUAGCGGUGAAAUGCGUAGAGAUCAGGAAGAACAUCGGUGGCGAAGGCGCUCUGCUGGACCAUAACUGACACUCAGGGACGAAAGCUAGGGGAGCGAAUGGG